UGGCGGCGUGCUAUACAUGCAAGUCGAGCGGACAGAUGGGAGCUUGCUCCCUGAUGUUAGCGGCGGACGGGUGAGUAACACGUGGGUAACCUGCCUGUAAGACUGGGAUAACUCCGGGAAACCGGGGCUAAUACCGGAUGCUUGUUUGAACCGCAUGGUUCAAACAUAAAAGGUGGCUUCGGCUACCACUUACAGAUGGACCCGCGGCGCAUUAGCUAGUUGGUGAGGUAACGGCUCACCAAGGCAACGAUGCGUAGCCGACCUGAGAGGGUGAUCGGCCACACUGGGACUGAGACACGGCCCAGACUCCUACGGGAGGCAGCAGUAGGGAAUCUUCCGCAAUGGACGAAAGUCUGACGGAGCAACGCCGCGUGAGUGAUGAAGGUUUUCGGAUCGUAAAGCUCUGUUGUUAGGGAAGAACAAGUACCGUUCGAAUAGGGCGGUACCUUGACGGUACCUAACCAGAAAGCCACGGCUAACUACGUGCCAGCAGCCGCGGUAAUACGUAGGUGGCAAGCGUUGUCCGGAAUUAUUGGGCGUAAAGGGCUCGCAGGCGGUUUCUUAAGUCUGAUGUGAAAGCCCCCGGCUCAACCGGGGAGGGUCAUUGGAAACUGGGGAACUUGAGUGCAGAAGAGGAGAGU
rnacentral:rRNA from 1 species